UACGAAGGGUGCAAGCGUUACUCGGAAUUACUGGGCGUAAAGCGUGCGUAGGUGGUUUGUUAAGUCUGAUGUGAAAGCCCCGGGCUUAACCUGGGAAUGGCAUUUGGGACUGCAAGGCUUGAGUGCGGCAGAGGAGACUGGAAUUCCUGGUGUAGCAGUGAAAUGCGUAGAUAUCAGGAGGAAUACCGAUGGCGAAGGCAGGUCUCUGGGCUGACACUGACGCUCAUGCACGAAAGCGUGGGGAGCAAACGAGG
rnacentral:rRNA from 1 species